rnacentral:rRNA from 1 species
GGGGGGAAAACCCUGAUGCAGCGACGCCGCGUGAAGGAAGAAGUAUCUCGGUAUGUAAACUUCUAUCAGCAGGGAAGAUAGUGACGGUACCUGACUAAGAAGCCCCGGCUAACUACGUGCC